UGGUGGGACACCCCUCCCCCAACGAGGGGCAGAUAUCUGUAAGGAUAACAUAA
rfam:Marine metagenome ctg_1101668049735, whole genome shotgun sequence.